rnacentral:lncRNA from 1 species
CUGACAUGGUUGAUGUAGAUUUACUAAAGUUCAAUCGGCAGUCAUCCUUUCCCUCCUUGGUUUAUGGCAUCAAUGCUUUGUUUGUCAAACCUGCUCAGUCUUUGGUUCCCACGAUGAUACUCUCUAGGCUAAACCAGCAUGGAUAUGGGAACCCAAACAGCAGUGUACUUCCAAGUCUUCACGAUGCUAUGUUUGGUUUGAUUUGCCUGGUCCCGCUGGGCACUGCGAUAAUUCAGAUUCUGGUGUGGAGCCUGUUCUCAACCAGAAACAAGACAGGCUACAUAGGGACUUUUUAAAGCCAACACUGGCUGUUACGGGAUUCAAAUAAAACUUCAGAUGUUUGCCUGUUCUUCUACGGUUGACAUUGUACUGGAAAGCAAACUUGUUCUUUAUAAGCC